rnacentral:lncRNA from 1 species
UUUUUUUUUUUUUUUUUUUUUUUAGAUAGGGUCUCACCAGGUAGCCCAAGCAGGCCUCCAACUUGUGACUUUCCCACUCCAGCCUCCCAAAUAUGGGGAUUACAAGGCAUACACCACCAAACUCCCCUGCCAUAGCAGUUACCCAUUUAUUGUGUGUGUCACUCCUACAGAGGUCAGAGGAUAAGCUGGCAGAGUUAAUUCUCUCCCUUGAGCUUAUGGGUCCUGGGGUUGGAGGAGGCAGGUCAUCAGACUUGAUGGCAAACACUUUCGCCCACUGAGUCAUCUCCUGGGUCCCUCUUUCCUCUCUUAAAAGAUCUUAGAUUGAAAAUUUUUAUUUUAUGUCUAUGUUUUGCAUGCUUGUAUGUAUGCACACAUACGUGGUUGGUACCCUAAGGGGUCAGAACUGGAGUUCCAGAGCUCAUGAGCCACAACGUGUGGGUUUUGGGAACUGAACCCAGGUCCUCUGCAAAAGCAACAAAGUAUCCUUAACUGCAGCACCAUCUCUCAGCCCCUCAGCCCCUCUUAAAUAGUCCGUGAGAAGGCUCUGGGGCAGCAUGCCCAGUUAAACAUGCUGAAUGGACAGGGAUAUUUCAUAGCCACACAGCCAAGAUGGACCCACUGUGGCUACUGAGCAUACAUAGCAGGUAUGGCCGAGGAACUGAAUUUUCAGUUUUAUCUCGUUUUUUGUCCCCUGCCCCCCUCCUCCUCUGAGACAGAGUCUCUCUGUCUUAGAACUUUCUCUGUAGUCCAGGCUGGCCUCCAAAUCACAGAGCCUGCCUCUGCCUCUUGAGCUGGGAUUAAAGGUGUAUGCCACCACUGCCCAGUCAGUUUUAUUUAGUUUUAAUUAUUGAAAAAAAAUAGUGGUGGUUUUGUUUUUCCUUUUUAAAAGUACUGGGGUUCAUGGUAGGCAAGCACACUACCACUGAAUUGUAUUUAUACCCAACUUAUCUGAAUUGUAGGCAAGCAAGUGGCAUGCUUCCUGGACAGCAGAGCUAGAAGGGUCUUCCUGCUACUUCCCUCCGAAGGGUCAGGCAAGGACAGCUUGUGAGUGUGAGUGUGUGUGUGUGUGUGUGCUUGUGUGUGCGCACCAGUAGGAAAAUGUGGCUCUAGGGGCUGUUACUCUGGAAGCUUGGUUGUCUACUGUAAUUCAGACAUUGUGGGACAGCCCAGUGGUCACCAUAGUGACUGCUGUCUCAGGAGGACACAUCUCAGAAAAGCACCACAGUCCUCCACGGGCUGGAGACAGAAUGGAAACAGAUGAAACUGGAAGAGGCUUUGGCCAUCACGGGUGGCUGGGUUCACAGUGGUCCCUUCCUUCCGCGAUGGUCUAGCCGUCACUUUCUUUCCUGUCCUUCCCACCCUCCUCCCUUUCUUCUUCUUUUAAUCUAAUAGCCCCUCUUUCCUUUCAUCCCUCCCUCCUCCCCUCCAUUUCUCAUAUAGUUAUUUCCAUACAGUGUUAUAUAUAGGAGUAUGCAUAUAUAUACUUUUUUUUUUGAGACAAGGUCUCAUUACAUAGCUUCUGCUAGCCUUGAACUUGCUGUAUAAACCAGGCUGGCUUCAAACUUGGGAUGAACCCUUGUGCCUCUGCUCCUCAAGUGCCGGGAUCACAGCUCUGUCCGCACCAUUGCACCUGGCUGACACAUACAUACAACCUAGACUGUUAAAAUACAAUCUAGAUUCCUGUCCCACUAAACUCACAGAAGACCUGUUAGCCUUUCCAGGUUUGAGACUAGGUUUCCCCAGAUAGUCAGUGCCAAAAAAGAACCAUCCCUUCACGGUUUAAGAAACAGCUGAGCCAGAGGCAUUCCCAGGCCCCGAGCAAGAGGAGGAGAGAAGAAAGAAGUAACUGGAGGGUGCUGGGAUUCUAGUCCAACUUCCAGAAGGACUGACUGGCUCGAGACCUCUUGGGAUAGUAAAGUCCGGACCCAUAGUUGGAGGUAGGUCAAAUAUCAGUGUUCCCUUAGAACCCAUGGAUCUUGGAUGCUUUCUUGCUGAGUGGGUAUCAGAAGCCGGCACUGUCCAUAGAGUGAGGAGUUGCUCAGGGUCCUGCGAAACAGUUGCAGCUGCUAUUGAAACUCUAACUUCUUUUUUAAAAAAAAGAUGUAUUUAUUUUAUGUAUGUGAGUACACUGUAGCUGUAUAGAUGGUUGUGAGCCUUCAUGUGGUUUUUGGGAAUUGAAUUUUAGGACCUCUGCUCACUCUGGUCAACCCUGCUCAUUCCAGUUGGCCCUGCUUGCUCCAAUCAACUCCACUGGCUCAGUCCCUGCUUGUUCUGGCCCAAAGAUUUAUUUAUUAUUGUACACACUAUAGCUAGAAGAGGACAUAAGAUCUCAUUAUGGGUGGUUGUGAGCCACCAUGUGGUUGCUGGGAUUUGAACUCAGGACCUUUGGGAGAGCAGUCAGUGCUCUUACCCACUGAGCCAUUUCGCCAGCCCUUAACUUUUUUUUUUUUUUAAAGUAGGCAACCUCACAGUCUCUGCUUUAGACCCAGCUGUUGCCCCGUGUGCUGACUGGGCCACCUCACUUGCUCCUCAUUGCCUAACAGUGCAGCCUCACAGGGCACAGUAAUCAGGCGCAGGUGUGCAGCCCAGUGUGAUAGUCAACCUGCAGCAGAAGACACCAAAUGCAAAGAGUCUAUCCUGUGUGCACAGACACACAGCUUCUAUCGAGAGGUCUUCCUGUUGUUUCCCUAUGUAGCCCAGGUUGGCCUCAAGCUCUCUUUUGUCCUGCAGCAGUUUCUAAGUGCUGUGAUCACAGGGGCACCCACACACCUGGGCUGAAGGUCUUCAUCACCACGAUGCUUCCGAUCUUUCGUACUUUUUUCCAAAUAAGCCAACUGAUCGUCUUAUGGAGGUUGUUAAAAUCUGCCUUGUCUGUACAAUGAAAUAGUGCAUGCUGGUGAAAAAGAGAUAAGUAUUGUUAUGGAAGGAGCUUCAAGACCAAUUAAGUGAAAAAAAAUCAAAAUAUGGAUCAAUGUGUAACUAUUCUUACUGCUUGAGAGAAGAAAGUGUCUUCUUCUUUGUAUAUAUUUUCAUAAAUAAAAGCUACAUGGAGGCUC